rnacentral:rRNA from 1 species
AUUGAACGCUGGCGGCAGGCUUAACACAUGCAAGUCGAGCGAGCGGCGGACGGGUGAGUAAUGUCUGGGAAACUGCCUGAUGGCGGGGGAUAACUACUGGAAACGGUAGCUAAUCCCGCAUACCAUCAGAUGUUCCCAGAUGGGAUUCGCUAGUAGGUGGGGUAAUGGCUCACCUAGGCGACGAUCCCUAGCUGGUCUGAGAGGAUGACCGGCCACACUGGAACUGAGACACGGUCCAGACUCCUACGGGAGGCAGCAGUGGGGAAUAUUGCACAAUGGGCGCAAGCCUGAUGCAGCCAUGCCGCGUGUGUGAAGAAGGCCUUCGGGUUGUAAAGCACUGUCAGCGAGGAGGCGUUACCCGCAGAAGAAGCAACGGCUAACUCCGUGCCAGCAGCCGCGGUAAUAC